GAAAUGCGAUAAGUAAUGUGAAUUGCAUAAUUCAGUGAAUCAUCGAAUCUUUGAACGCACCUUGCGCUCCUUGGUAUUCCUUGGAGCAUGCCUGUCUGAGUAUCAUGAAAUCUUCAAAGUAAAUCUUUUGUUAACUCAAUUGGUUUCUACUUUGGUAUUGGAGGUCUUUGCAGCUUCACACCUGCUCCUCUUUGUUCAUUAGCUGGAUCUCAGUGUUAUGCUUGGUUCCACUCGGCGUGAUAAGUUAUCUAUCGCUGAGGACACUGUAAAAGGUGGCCAAGGUAAAUGCAGAUGAACCGCUUCUAAUAGUCCAUUGACUUGGACAAUACUUUUAUGAUCUGAUCUCAAAUCAGGUAGGACUACCCGCUGAACUUAAGC
rnacentral:misc_RNA from 1 species